rnacentral:rRNA from 1 species
UACGAAGGGGGCUAGCGUUGUUCGGAAUUACUGGGCGUAAAGGGCGCGUAGGCUGUGCUGUAAGUCAGGCGUGAAAUCCCUGGGCUCAACCUGGGAAUUGCGUUUGAUACUGCGGCGCUGGAAUGCAGGAGAGGAUGGCGGAAUUCCCAGUGUAGAGGUGAAAUUCGUAGAUAUUGGGAAGAACACCGGUGGCGAAGGCGGCCAUCUGGCCUGUAAUUGACGCUGAGGCGCGAAAGCGUGGGGAGCAAACAGG